UUAAAUUGAAGAGUUUGAUCAUGGCUCAGAUUGAACGCUGGCGGCAGGCCUAACACAUGCAAGUCGAACGGUAACAGGAAGCAGCUUGCUGCUUUGCUGACGAGUGGCGGACGGGUGAGUAAUGUCUGGGAAACUGCCUGAUGGAGGGGGAUAACUACUGGAAACGGUAGCUAAUACCGCAUAAUGUCGCAAGACCAAAGAGGGGGACCUUCGGGCCUCUUGCCAUCGGAUGUGCCCAGAUGGGAUUAGCUAGUAGGUGGGGUAACGGCUCACCUAGGCGACGAUCCCUAGCUGGUCUGAGAGGAUGACCAGCCACACUGGAACUGAGACACGGUCCAGACUCCUACGGGAGGCAGCAGUGGGGAAUAUUGCACAAUGGGCGCAAGCCUGAUGCAGCCAUGCCGCGUGUAUGAAGAAGGCCUUCGGGUUGUAAAGUACUUUCAGCGGGGAGGAAGGCGAUAAGGUUAAUAACCUUGUCGAUUGACGUUACCCGCAGAAGAAGCACCGGCUAACUCCGUGCCAGCAGCCGCGGUAAUACGGAGGGUGCAAGCGUUAAUCGGAAUUACUGGGCGUAAAGCGCACGCAGGCGGUCUGUCAAGUCGGAUGUGAAAUCCCCGGGCUCAACCUGGGAACUGCAUUCGAAACUGGCAGGCUAGAGUCUUGUAGAGGGGGGUAGAAUUCCAGGUGUAGCGGUGAAAUGCGUAGAGAUCUGGAGGAAUACCGGUGGCGAAGGCGGCCCCCUGGACAAAGACUGACGCUCAGGUGCGAAAGCGUGGGGAGCAAACAGGAUUAGAUACCCUGGUAGUCCACGCCGUAAACGAUGUCGACUUGGAGGUUGUGCCCUUGAGGCGUGGCUUCCGGAGCUAACGCGUUAAGUCGACCGCCUGGGGAGUACGGCCGCAAGGUUAAAACUCAAAUGAAUUGACGGGGGCCCGCACAAGCGGUGGAGCAUGUGGUUUAAUUCGAUGCAACGCGAAGAACCUUACCUACUCUUGACAUCCAGAGAACUUUCCAGAGAUGGAUUGGUGCCUUCGGGAACUCUGAGACAGGUGCUGCAUGGCUGUCGUCAGCUCGUGUUGUGAAAUGUUGGGUUAAGUCCCGCAACGAGCGCAACCCUUAUCCUUUGUUGCCAGCGGUUAGGCCGGGAACUCAAAGGAGACUGCCAGUGAUAAACUGGAGGAAGGUGGGGAUGACGUCAAGUCAUCAUGGCCCUUACGAGUAGGGCUACACACGUGCUACAAUGGCGCAUACAAAGAGAAGCGACCUCGCGAGAGCAAGCGGACCUCAUAAAGUGCGUCGUAGUCCGGAUUGGAGUCUGCAACUCGACUCCAUGAAGUCGGAAUCGCUAGUAAUCGUGGAUCAGAAUGCCACGGUGAAUACGUUCCCGGGCCUUGUACACACCGCCCGUCACACCAUGGGAGUGGGUUGCAAAAGAAGUAGGUAGCUUAACCUUCGGGAGGGCGCUUACCACUUUGUGAUUCAUGACUGGGGUGAAGUCGUAACAAGGUAACCGUAGGGGAACCUGCGGUUGGAUCACCUCCUUACCUUAAAGAA
rnacentral:rRNA from 1 species